GACGAACGCUGGCGGCGUGCUUAACACAUGCAAGUCGAACGGUGAAGGGGAGCUUGCUCCCCGGAUCAGUGGCGAACGGGUGAGUAACACGUGGGCAACCUGCCCCAGACUUCGGGAUAACGCUUCGAAAGAGGUGCUAAUACCGGAUACGAACUCCUUGGGCAUCCUGGGAGUUGGAAAGUUUUUCGGUCUGGGAUGGGCCCGCGGCCUAUCAGCUAGUUGGUGAGGUAACGGCUCACCAAGGCGACGACGGGUAGCCGGCCUGAGAGGGCGACCGGCCACACUGGGACUGAGACACGGCCCAGACUCCUACGGGAGGCAGCAGUGGGGAAUAUUGCGCAAUGGGCGAAAGUCUGACGGAGCAACGCCGCGUGAGCGAUGAAGGCCUUCGGGUCGUAAAGCUCUGUUGUUAGGGAAGAACAAGUACCGGAGUAACUGCCGGUACCUUGACGGUACCUAACCAGAAAGCCACGGCUAACUACGUGCCAGCCGCCGCGGUAAGAC
rnacentral:rRNA from 1 species